AAAUAAUUUGUAUAAUUGCAGAGAUAACCUUGUAAGGUUUACGCUACUCUAUUUCAAUGAAGCCAAUUUUUGUAUUUCAGGAAAAUCAAACAAAAAAAGAGAAAACAAUUGAAACAAAAAGAGGGAAGUAGCGCUUCAGGGAACGACAAUACGGUGACAAAGAGGGCAGGGAUGGUGAUUCAGUGUGAGAGGGCUUUGAUUUCGGUGAUGAACGGUGGAGAUGACAUCAGCGGCGGUGGAACCUUCUCGGACGGGGUUCUCGCGGUGGUUUUAGUUGAUGGUCGGCGAAGGUAUAGGUCUGAUGCGUGUUGGUUUUUGAUUUCACGGGGCGUUUAGAUGGUGUCUUCACGGCAUGAACAAUGCCGCUGAAUGGUCAGGGAUUUUGGCAGAAAAACUCCGGCCGGUGGUUACGAUGUCCUUCAGAAUUCCUCGUCACAGCUAUCGUUCUAUACCGCCAUCAGAGAGAAUCCCAAAGUACGAAAGCCCUAAUUUGGACUCCAUUAUGGAUUCGUUUGAGAUGUAAGCUCGCUUGGUGAAGAAUAUAAUAUAUAAAUGAUGAGGAGAUUUCUAUCAAUGUGCUAUUUCAUUGGCAUGGUUACUAUGAACUAUUAGAGACCUUAUGACCAAAAAAAUUAAUACACAUUUAGUGCAGUACAUAUCUGUCACCUCUCGCGUAUAAUAGUAUCUGUCACCUACAGUAUGAGACAUGAAGAAUUCUGAAAUAUGAAUAUUAGAACAUUUUUCUGCUUCUUUUAGAACAGUUGUUUUAUGGUUGUGGAGCUAAGGACUGCACAAAAGCUUUUUCGUGCUGCUGAAUUUGUGUACAAACAUCUGAAGCUGAAACACGCAUCGCUUGCUGUUGAACAAACUUCAAAAUUGCGCAACGAUCUCUAUACUCAAAAUUACAUGAAAUCCAUAUGCUUCUGGUGGAAAGCCUGUUAUGCUGCAAUCUCAAGUGAACUACUAUACGCAUUGCUUGCCGUAAGUAUGAGAACAAUUUGUUGUUAGAAACUCACCCAUCUCAUAUGAUAGAGUCGAUGUUGGCCAGGGAUAACAUGAACUAACCAAUGUUUACAUUUCAGAUGCAAUUUUGUAUUACAUUUAUCAAACAUAUGAUUUGCAGGAUGUGGUAGAUGUUAUAUAAAAUAUAUCCAAGGAAAAUCAUCGUAAAACGAUUAGCAUACUUUCUAUGUCCGGUUGUGUAUCAAACAUUGUUGAUCUUACUCCGAACAAUCCCAAACACUGCAAGGGCAAAUUUGAGAUGCAUUUUAUGUCUACAAAAUGUCUCUCUGAUGAUGAUGGUCGUCAAUGUCGUGGAAAGGCAACGUGUAUCGUUACAUGCUGAGAUGAAAAGGAAAUUCUAUUAGUAAAUACUUCUGUCAUAGUGGCUGGCUAUGCUAAAACACCGAUAUUAACAGGUGCAAGAAUUUCAGCAUUUGCUGCUGUUGUGACUCGAAAUGAUGACAAAAGUCCCAUAGAAGCCAUCCUUCUUAAAGUAAGCAAAUCAUAUUUCUUCUAUUAUUUUCUUUACUAUUGACAGAAAUUCACGUGAGACUUAUAUUCAAAAUGGUAUAGAAUCUCCAUAACUUUGAAUUAACAAUCUUUAUCUUUUGGUUCAUUAAAUGAUUAAGGCCAAUUUUUAUCCAACUAAAGAAUACUCUACAAAAGGUUAUCAAAGAAGAACAAACAUUUACAUCUGGUUUUUUGCAACAGCUUAAUCAGUGGGAGAUGGGAACAUAGUAAAAUCCCACAUCAGCAACUAGUCUAGUGCUUCAAAUGCGCAGGACUUGAAGUCUCCUUCUGUAGUUGACAAUUGUUUGGUCAUGAAGUCUCCUUCUGCUGGGGACAUUUGAAAUUAAGUUUCUAAUCUUCUAUAAAACUGAAAAGUUCUUGUUUAAUUCUGGCGCCGAGAUUGUGUGUACACUCGGGAAAUGCUAUUCCAUAAACAUUAUUGUUUCCUCUUCUUUUCAGUUGAGUUUUUUAAGAAUGGAUGAUUAGAAAUUUAAUUGUCA